rnacentral:rRNA from 1 species
GGGGAAUAUUGGACAAUGGGCGCAAGCCUGAUCCAGCAAUGCCGCGUGAGCGAUGAAGGCCUUCGGGUUGUAAAGCUCUGUGGGGAGGGGCGAAAGGCAGAAGUGCUAAUAGUACUCUGUUUGACGGUACCUCCUUAGCAAGCACCGGCUAACUCUGUGCCAGCAGCCGCGGUAAGACAGAGGGUGCAAACGUUGCUCGGAAUUACUGGGCGUAAAGCGCGUGUAGGCGGGAAGAUAAGUCGGGUGUGAAAUCCCUGGGCUCAACCUAGGAACUGCAUCCGAAACUGCCUUUCUGGAGUGAUGGAGAGGAAAGCGGAAUUCCCGGUGUAGAGGUGAAAUUCGUAGAUAUCGGGAGGAACACCAGUGGCGAAGGCGGCUUUCUGGCCAUCAACUGACGCUGGGACGCGAAAGCGUGGGGAGCAAAC